UAACAGCUGGAAACGGCUGCUAAUACCGCAUAAGCGCACAGAGCUGCAUGGCUCAGUGUGAAAAACUCCGGUGGUAUGGGAUGGGCCCGCGUCUGAUUAGGCAGUUGGCGGGGUAACGGCCCACCAAACCGACGAUCAGUAGCCGGCCUGAGAGGGCGACCGGCCACAUUGGGACUGAGACACGGCCCAAACUCCUACGGGAGGCAGCAGUGGGGAAUAUUGCACAAUGGGGGAAACCCUGAUGCAGCGACGCCGCGUGAGCGAAGAAGUAUUUCGGUAUGUAAAGCUCUAUCAGCAGGGAAGAUAAUGACGGUACCUGACUAAGAAGCCCCGGCUAACUACGUGCCAGCAGCCGCGGUAAUACGUAGGGGGCAAGCGUUAUCCGGAUUUACUGGGUGUAAAGGGAGCGUAGACGGCAAGGCAAGUCUGAUGUGAAAACCCAGGGCUUAACCCUGGGACUGCAUUGGAAACUGUCUGGCUCGAGUGCCGGAGAGGUAAGCGGAAUUCCUAGUGUAGCGGUGAAAUGCGUAGAUAUUAGGAAGAACACCAGUGGCGAAGGCGGCUUACUGGACGGUAACUGACGUUGAGGCUCGAAAGCGUGGGGAGCAAACAGGAUUAGAUACCCUGGUAGUCCACGCCGU
rnacentral:rRNA from 1 species